UUAUUAAUAGAUAUAAAUAAUAGUUGAAUAACCUUUUCAUAAGAUUGCUAAAGAUAACCUCAAAAGAAAAUACAACUUUUUUGUAAAGUUUAACAAUAAAUUAUAUUACAAUUUUAAAUUAACAUCAAAUUUUGAGCUACACACAUCUUAGUAAUUAAAUCUGUAUGGUGUUAUCCGUUUUUACUUUAAGGUUAUUUAUACUUCGUGUUUAUUACAAAUUUUUGAAGUCAUUAUAGAGAACAUACAGAAUUAGCAUUUAAGUUUGGAACGUUAGUUCAAAUGCCCGAUUACUCAGCCAAGGGAUGCAGAAACAAGUCAGAGAGUGGCCAUAGUUGUACACACAGGUCUGUUAACUGCUGUAAAGGAGAUAAGGUUCUUAAUGUCGCAAGAUGUACUUUACCAAUUGGCCACCAUUGAACACUGCGAUUGAGUAGCUAGGAUUUUAUGUUUGGCGCCAUUCUUCGGUGAAAGCACUAAAGAUACAUCUACAAUACUCCAUUUAUUACAGAAAGCAUUGUUUAAAUGAAUAUUAAUUAUGAACCAUUAUUAAACAUGCAUUAUUAUUACCAACAAACAAGUUUAACAAGACUACAAUUUUCAAAUUAAAUAUGUACACAUAUCUUUAAUGCUUUUAUAUUUGACGCAUAUAUUGGAAAACGUAGCAGUAUAUGCACCACUGCGAACAGGCAGUACAUUGACAGAGAUUAUAGAAGUAGCAUUGGCAACUACUACUUAUGAACCAAAUAACAGGCAAACAAAAAUAAUUCCGCAAGACUUUCUUGACAAAAUCAGAGGAAAAAAGAUUCACUUUCUGCGUACGAGAAUUCCAACUAUUUCCUAUGGAAAGCCACGAACAAAAUAAAGGAGCCAAUUAAACUAAUCCCAGCAAUCAGAUUAACGGACAACACAUGAGCCAGAAGCAACGAAGAGCAAGCUGAAGAAUUUUCCAACCACCUUUGUUGAAGUUAUCUCUUCGAGGAACGCGUGAUGAAUGUGUAACAGAAAUAUAUUUAAGUAUAAGUGUAACUCGUUACAUUACAACAGAGCUUCGAAGCCAUGAGUCUAUGGGUAUUUAUAUGUCGGAGAUGAAAGAACACCGGAGCCUUUGGAAUUUUGGAUAAUCCCGCAACAUUGUAAUCUAGAGUCUACUAUAGCUGUAAUUAGACAAUUGUAGUUAUUCAAUCCGAUUGUAAUUAUUCGCGAGUUGUGAUAAUGAGUUUGGGCUCGAGGCGACAGCCAGUCGCCGAACGUAGCCGCGGUGACGGGAUGAACGCUUUGUCUAACAAAGGUAUGGAGUAAUUCUAUAGCUCUCCUUAAAAGAAAUAUUUGUAGCGGCACGCGACAGUAAACAUUCCAACGGUUUCUGUCCUGUGGCUCGCCACACGCAGAUCCUAUUCUUCGGGUAUGAUGGUUACCAAAUGCCGACGCGUCUCCACAGUACGUGAUCGGCUAGUCCGAGGGCCGUUAUAAACACUAAGAUCUAGUUACCUAAAGUUCUUCAAACAGACAAACAGUCUUUGUCCCGACUACGGGAAGUUAGGGGAGAUCUAUUUUUUCAACGAACGACGUCUCCCACUAGCAACUUUCCCUCGAGGGCGGCUAGCAUCUUUUUCUAACUACCGAUAUGGAGAUUGACCAAUUAGCAGCAAUGUCAAUUUCCCUUACUUUCCGAACGAAGACUAUCCCCGACGAAUCCGAUGAUCUCGUGUCCUUAGACAUACCCCAUCAUAGUUUUCUUCUGUGGCAUCGUCGGGACGGAAAGUCAUUCUUUCUUGCGGUCCCAUCGACUAAUAGAGUAACCCUUUAGGACCAGUGAAUAUUACGCGUCCGACUUAGAUUUUGUGAGCACGUUCAUCUAUUAUCCCGUCGACCGCGGAUUCGUUAUUGAACCUAGGAUCAUUGUCAUUAGUUUCUCGAGUAUCUAAUUACCACGGUUACUUGUCCAGUUCUAUGAUAAUCGUAUUUGCAUUAGUCGAAGUCUUCUCUAUUGCAUAACGACGACGUGUAAUCCAAACGAAGAUUCGUUUCACGCCCCUAACCCUAAUUCUAAUGUAAACCCGACAUAUAUAUUCUAAAACUUCCGAUUAAUAGGGUAGAUGUUGCCACCAGAAAUAGUCUAGGGACUAUUUCAAACAAUUUUUUUUUCUUUCACAAUGGACUAUUUUUCUCUACUUCCAAUUUUCCUUUUACUAUUUUGUAUUUAUUGUAGAUUUUAUAUUUUGUCUUUACGUCAAGAAUGUUAUUGUGUUGUAAGUAUUGUCACGUCUGUCGUAUUCUCGGUAACAACUCGUAUGAGUUCUCAAUCUCGUAUCGCGUCUCUCAAGCGCACUACCGUUGGAGAAUUCUCAAUUCGUUGUACCUUGUGUCUGCCGGGGUCUUAGUCUAAACGUCGUGUUGUCUCUCACUCUCUCUCUCUUUUCUAUUCAAUAGUUGUUAUGUUAAUAGGUAGCGUUACUUACAUUUAAUGCGACUGGUAAAUAAAUUCCACGUUUCGGCUAACCCGCUAUGGGCAGGAAUA